CCACACCGUACGCCGCGGCUCCCCCUCACUGGGACGCCUCGGCCAUGUACCACGCCGCUCCGAGCUACGGAUCCGCCUUCCCUCUGAACGCCGACUGGAUUAUGGAUACGGGUGCGGCGUCCCACGUCACCGGGGAUCCAGGACCUAGAAACCAAGGAGGUGCUCCUGAGGGUCAACAGUGAUGGUGAUUUAUACCCCUUCCAUGCAAAUAAAGGCGCCGCCACCACGCAAGCAUUCGUCAUCUCCACCCAUGAUCUCUGGCAUAGGCGGCUUGGGCAUCCUAGCUCAUCUACUUUUUCCCGUUUUCCUUUGGAUUUUCUUACCACAUGUAAUAAUGAUGUCCGGCCCUCCCAUCUCUGUAGUGCGUGUCAAAUGGGCAAGCAUACACGGCUGCCCUUUGCCACCUCCACCUCCUA